AUUGAACGCUGGCGGCAUGCCUAAUACAUGCAAGUCGAACGAGUGGCGGACGGGUGAGUAAUGUAUGGGAAACUGCCUGAUCGAGGGGGAUAACUACUGGAAACGGUAGCUAAUACCGCAUACCGUCAGAUCUGCCCACACUGGAUUAGCUUGUGGGUGGGGUAAAGGCUCACCAAGGCGACGAUCCCUAGCUGGUCUGAGAGGAUGACCAGCCACACUGGAACUGAGACACGGUCCAGACUCCUACGGGAGGCAGCAGUGGGGAAUAUUGCACAAUGGGCGCAAGCCUGAUGCAGCCAUGCCGCGUGUAUGAAGAAGGCCUUCGGGUUGUAAAGUACUUUCAGCGGGGAGGCGUUACCCGCAGAAGAAGCACCGGCUAACUCCGUGCCAGCCGCCGCGGUAAUAC
rnacentral:rRNA from 1 species